UACGUAGGGGGCAAGCGUUGUCCGGAUUUAUUGGGCGUAAAGAGCGUGUAGGCGGCCAGGUAGGUCGGUUGUGAAAACUGGAGGCUUAACCUUCAGACGUCGACCGAAACCAUCUGGCUAGAGUCCGGAAGAGGAGAGUGGAAUUCCUGGUGUAGCGGUGGAAUGCGCAGAUAUCAGGAAGAACACCCGUGGCGAAAGCGGCUCUCUGGGACGGUACUGACGCUGAGACGCGAAAGCGUGGGGAGCAAACAGG
rnacentral:rRNA from 1 species